UGAGUAAUGCCUAGGAAUCUGCCUGGUAGUGGGGGGGAUGCUAUAACGUCCGGAAACGGGCGCUAAUACCAUACGUCCUGAGGGAGAAAGUGGGGGAUCUUCGGACCUCACGCUAUCAGAUGAGCCUAGGUCGGAUUAGCUAGUUGGUGGGGUAAAGGCCUACCAAGGCGACGAUCCGUAACUGGUCUGAGAGGAUGAUCAGUCACACUGGAACUGAGACACGGUCCAGACUCCUACGGGAGGCAGCAGUGGGGAAUAUUGGACAAUGGGCGAAAGCCUGAUCCAGCCAUGCCGCGUGUGUGAAGAAAUGCUUUCGGAUUGUAAAGCACUUUAAGUUGGGAGGAAGGGCAUAAGUUAAUACCUUGCUGUUUUGACGUUACCAACAGAAUAAGCACCGGCUAACUUCGUGCCAGCAGCCGCGGUAAUACGAAGGGUGCAAGCGUUAAUCGGAAUUACUGGGCGUAAAGCGCGCGUAGGUGGUUCAGCAAGUUGGAUGUGAAAUCCCCGGGCUCAACCUGGGAACUGCAUCCAAAACUACUGAGCUAGAGUACGGUAGAGGGUGGUGGAAUUUCCUGUGUAGCGGUGAAAUGCGUAGAUAUAGGAAGGAACACCAGUGGCGAAGGCGACCACCUGGACUGAUACUGAGCUGAUGGUGCGAAAGCGUGGGGAGCAAACAGGAUUAGAUACCCUGGUAGUCCACGCCGUAACGAUGUCGACUAGCCGUUGGGAUCCUUGAGAUCUUAGUGGCGCAGCUAACGCGAUAAGUCGACCGCCUGGGGAGUACGGCCGCAAGGUUAAAACUCAAAUGAAUUGACAUGCUGCCGCACAAGCGGUGGAGCAUGUGGUUUAAUUCGAGCACGCGAAGACCUUACCUGGCCUUGACAUGCUGAGAACUUUCCAGAGAUGGAUUGGUGCCUUCUGGAACUCAGACCAGGUGCUGCAUGGCUGUCGUCAGCUCGUGUCAGCUGAUUCGAUGUUGGGGAUGCUGAUCCCCAAGU
rnacentral:rRNA from 1 species